UUCAGAAGUACUUAAUGCCACGACUGCGCGAACUUACUCAGCGGACCUUGUAUGAACUGCACUAUCUUUUAAUUACAUUUGGAAAGGUUUUCUGCACAAAGACCAAGCCGAAUUGCAACGCAUGUCCACUGAGGGGCGAGUGCAAGCAUUUUGCAAGUGCAUAUGCCAG